CCCUUAGAUGUUCUGGGCUGCACGCGCGCUACACUGAUGCACUCAUCGAGUUUAUGACCUUGUCCGAUAGGAUUGGGUAAUCUUCUUAAAAUGCAUCGUGAUGGGGAUAGAUUAUUGCAAUUAUUAAUCUUCAACGAGGAAUUCCUAGUAAGCGCGAGUCAUCAGCUCGUGCUGAUUACGUCCCUGCCCUUUGUACACACCGCCCGUCGCUCCUACCGAUUGAAUGCUCAGGUGAGCCAUUCGGACUUUCAUCAUGCUGGUUUCCAGUUUUGAUGAAGGAAAGUCUUGCGAACCUUAUCAUUUAGAGGAAGGAGAAGUCGUAACA
rnacentral:rRNA from 1 species